UCUCUCCAAACUGCUUAGAGAAGAAAAUCCGUGUUACUGCCUAGAGGAGGAACAUCUGAUCAGGUUGCUUUUCAGGAUGUUUAUGGAGGCUUCUGGCUUAGAAGAAAGGGUCAAUUAAGAAACCAGUUUUUCCUCUUAACUGCCAUCCGCUGCUCCUCCUCCUCCUCCUCCUCCUGCUCCCUGUCAGAGAAGGAGAGUUGAGUGCUGAUGAUGAAGCAAUACCUGGAUGUUGGCUGUGGCUGUUUCAGAUGAUUUCUUUAAAAAAAUAACUGAGUGCUUCUAUUUUCAUCUUUUGGGUAUCUUAGUAUUUUGCAUGUGUAUGAUUUGUAUAUUAGCUAUUAUUUGUGUUUAUGUAGAAAUACAUGCACUGUUGCUGGAUGGAAGUGACUAGUUUAGAAAUAAAGGGCCCACUUCUAAAACAAAUAAAGUACACACAAUUUGUGUGCAAUUGCAUGUGCCUAAUUUGUAUGCAUUGUUGUCAUGGUCAUGCAUCCAAAUUGCCAGAUGCAUACCAGUGGCUCAUUCAGGUCAUCAGUAUGCAAGAUUAACCUAAAUGAAGUAAAUGUAUGUUCAGGUUACACAAAUGGUUUCAUGCUUAACUUAAAGAUUGGACCCAAAGCAUCCUGUCUUCCUUCUUUUAUUCUGAAUAACGUUAAAGCUAUUUAUUCUUCUUCCUCCUAAUUGUUACCUUUGUGGCUUUCAUACUUUCUCUUUUCACGCCUAUCUGAUGUAUACAACCAAUCCCUCAGAGUAUCCUUCCUUUGUCUCUCCAAGUGCUGCACUAAAAUGCAUGCAUCUGGGGAAUCUUUUCAGUAAUGAUUGCAUGAUCAGCAUCUGCAUGCCAUCUAAUCUGGAUUUGGUGGGACCCUCCCCAUGUGUGACUCUCAUCUAAAGAAAAGCCUUAUUUUUAUAAGAUUAUACAAACAACUUGCAUAUUGUAUUAUGUCAUAUUGGAUUAUACUUCUCAAAGUUUCUAUUCACUCUCCUUAACAGCAUUGUCGUAAAUGCAUUCGUCAACGUGAAAAUAAUCACAUUACGGAUAAGCCAAAUGUUAGCACUGUUCCAAGAAUUUGAACUGAUCUGGAUUGGACUUUGCUAAGUAUAUUAUAAAAAUUGAACAAUGGCUCUCAUUGCCCUGGCCUCUUCUAGUCAGAGAAGAGACAGUGAUAGAAGUUGUACAUUCAGACUUGAAAAAUGAAUCUACUACUAUUGGAAAAUUGAAUAAUAAUUGUUAGCAAGAAAUUAUUUUUAAUGAUCAGACAGAAGUGGUAACUUCUGAAUUCCAAAACUAAAACAGUUCUUCAGGAGAAAAUCCUAAGUGUUGCAAACUGCAUUCAUAAAACAAGCAGAAUUUAGUCAUACAUUUAUAAGGCUGGGAUAGAAGUUCACGAAAUCACUAUCAAGUUUUUAUAGUAAAGUAAUUGCAGUUGCUUUAAUAAAUUAACAAAAAUGUUUUUCUUUUUUUUUUCAAAAGAACUUAUCAUGCAAGUACUCGGAGGCCCAGACUUGCCAAAGUAACUCCUACCAUUUCGUCUAUAAUUUUGCAGUCUCAGAAGAUUACGUAUACACUCUUUUGGCUAUAUUUUUGCAACAAAGGCAAAAAUGUGAUAUUAUGUGCAAAAAACAGUCUGUGCAUCCAAAACCUGAGUCUCACACUUGUUAAAAAAAUGUGCAGGCAUUGCUUUCAUGUAGCAGAUUGUUACUCACAGUCAUAGGCUACAUUGUGAUCCUUUUGAAAAUUUGGCUCAAAAAUGUUGCUUCAUCAUACACUUCUAUGGUAAAAUACAGUCUUUUCAUCUUAUUCUCCAUCAUCACACUGUCAAAAUUCUUGUUUCAUUGCUAAGUAAUCUUUUUAUUUAUAUUUAAGUCAUUUAAUUUAAAAAUAUAUAUAUUUUUAGUAAUUUACUUUUGAUAAUCACUGCAAAUGGAAUAAUUAUACCUUUUCCAGGCAGUUAUGUGCAGAUUUACUUUGAAACCUGACCUUUGUUCUCAGGGGUUUACAGCAGUAACUGGCUCUAACUUGCGAAACACAAUGGGCCAAAUGCUGGAUGCCUUCACUUUUGCUGUCCAGGCAGGUGCAAAGUAAUACCUCAAAAGAACCUUUAUUUUGUUCCUCUAUUCCAAUUGGUACAUAAGUGCUUGCAUAACCUCUGCACAGCUGCUACACAAACGACUCAUGCCACAGGCAUUAGUAAUCUUAGCAGGGAAGGUUGCAUGGAAAAUUGGGGUGUGUAUGCUAAGUCAUAUAUACUAUGCUCUGAGCCUAAAAACCCUCUGCUGAUGAAGCAAGGGGUCACUCAAGGCUCUGCAUAUUGCAGGGCAGGUUUAUAUGCAACAACUGCACCCCACAUUUUCUCUCCUGGUGGAGGUUUAUUUUGCUUGUGUGUAUGAGCACGCAGGAGCCAGGAUUUGGCCCAGUGUUAUCUUCAUUCACUAUCAAAUUCUACUUGAUUUAUGUUUCAUUCCCAUAGAAACAGUGAUUUUAAUGGUUUAUUUUGAAUACGUAUUAAAGCUACUCUACCUGGCAGUGAAUUCUGAGCUGCCAGCUUUUUGAGCUAUGUUGGAUUGCAGAGGUGAAGGAGUAUAAUGUGCGUUUUUGUCUCUGAUCCUGUUUCUAAAAUAACGUUUUCUAAAUAUGCAAUUGUUUCUAUAGAGUCUGUGAACUUAUCUAAAAGUAGACUGAAGUCAGGAGUUCAUUUGAUUUUUCUAUAGCCCUGGCCACAAAAAUCCCCUCCAGAAUUACACAAAUGAUUAUGCUUUGGCCCCAAUUCUCCAUGGUUUAGGGAAUGUUCCAGCUCCCUCUGAUUCAGGAAGGAGGUUUGCCACAGUACAAGUGGCCGCAUGAAGCAAUCUUCCAAAGAUCCAGCAGCAGAAGAUCAUUAACCACAAGGUUUAUGCUGGAAGUUUUUAAAAUAAUAUGAACUGGCCAGAUGUUCUGCUGGUGUAAAUUGGCCUCACUCCAUUCAUGUCAAUGUAUUAACAUGAAUUCACGCUAGCUGAGGAACUAACCUAAGCUAUCCUGUUAGCAAAGUAAAGGAGGAGACUAUUCUACUGUUAGAAUACUUCAGAAGGUGUUCGUUUGUUUGUGGUGUUAGUUUAUGCUGCAAUCCUGAACGCACAAAUAUUAUCCUACAGUGUCAUGAGACCAAAGCUGUAGCUACUGCGGUGGAUGUUCCAGUAGAUUUUUUUAGUAGGCAACAUUUGUGACAAGUAAAUAACAUUGAGCAUGCAGUGGGUUUGCACCAUAAAUUAUAUCUUUUCGUCAGUCACCCGGAAUCUCUUUUACAGUCCUCUGAACCCCAUAGGCAAAUAUAUAUUGUUAGACGAUUAAGAUAAUUUUUCAGUUAAGACGUCAAACUGCAAGGAGGACAAUGGGAACAAAACCCCUUUUGUUCGGACUAAACUGUUCCUAAUGAUCCCCUCUAUAAACAGUGGCACCAGUGGAGGUCUCAACAAGGCUCCUCAUUGAGACCCCUUUCAAAAGGACAAGCAGAGCAGAACAUGGGGCAGAAACGCUCUGAGAGUUACUGCACUCCACUCCGCUUUGGUGGUCCAACCACAAGAGAGAAUCUGUUGUUGUUUGUUUUUCAAGGCACCUGAGAUAAUUUAAAAGCAUACAUUUAAACAAUUAGUAUCUUAUAAUGCUGUCUAAAUGUUGGGGGAGUUUUGUUCGUUUGUUUAAUAUGAAUUAAGGGACUCAAACAGAUUCUUAUAUAUUCCGCCUACAUUUUGAAUAAGAAGUGGGGGGAGGUGUGUGGAGCCCACCCUCAAGGAAAGGGCAAAAGUUAAGUCCCAAAGGAGCUACGAUUUUGGAGAUCCUUGCAUUUAUAUUUGGAAUUAAAUUCUUCCUUUGGGGAUAUGGUUCUCUGCAUAAUGAGGUAGAGGCAAGUUUUGCACAAAGCUCCCAGGUUUCUUCUGUUCAGCUUUAGAAAAAUUCAAGGCAGAACGAUGGUCUUCACCACUAAAGGCCAAGCACAUAUUCUCAGAGGAUACUCUGUAUGGGUAUAGUUCCAUAAAGAGUGUGUCUUCAUGCCAUUGAGGGUUAUGGAAGUUAUGAAUGACUUUGCAAUUAGUCUUUUUUACAUUUUGAUGUCCUAAAUAUAUCUGAACAAUAGAACAGAAGAUCUUUCAUUAAAACUAAAACCUAUUUAUAGAAUUUCUUCCGUGUAUGUAAAUAGAAAGUGAUAAUAGGUCAGACAGUACAAGUCCAUACUGAUACACAUAAAACACUGCUAUCUACAUGGGUUAGUUGAAACAGCUUGUAAGAGAUCAUGAUGAAAGAUGGAACAAGAACAUUCAUUUUAUUCUGUGAAACAGUUUCUGACAUGUCCUGGGCAGAUUCACAGGAUCUUCUAACACCAGUGAGGUUGUGACAGAGCUAAGGGGGUAAAAUGGGGAUACAAUGUGAAAUGAGAGUUGGUAGGAAGUGUGCAUAGUAAUAUUGGGCCUUUAGGCAAUAUCAAGAAAAUGAAUUGGAUAUGCCCAGUACAUAAGGGGCAUCUAAGACAGAGGAGUAAUUUGGUAGAAUUGACCAGCACUGAGGAUUGCAGUGUUGUUUUGGAAAGUGAUAUGGGAAGCAGAGAAGAAAAUAUAGUUCUGACUCGUUUGCCCCACUCACUUGAAAGCUGCAUUUCUGGUCUGAAGAAUUGAAGAGUAUUGCAGUACUGUAUCAGUUUUAUGCAUGGGAUAUCUGUGAACUGGGCCUUUGCAAAUCACUGUUCUUCAGUGCGGGGUGGCAUUGUUAUAUGAGGUAUAUCCUUCUGUUUCAUGAAUUUCAUGUUGUUUCAUGCAGGUGUGUGCAUGUAAUCUGUGUGACACCUAUUUGGUUUCAAGGAUACAAUAUUCUCAUUAUAUGUCACGUGUCUGUUUUUCUUCAAAGUCAGAACUCAGAUUUUUCUUGUCAACAGUGGACUACAACUGGUUGAAAUUUGCUGGCUAUUGCUUCAAAGACUCUCUGCUUGGGAAUUCCAGGGAGAUAGACUGCUAAAACACCUUACUCAUCUACAGCAGCUUGAGAGAAUUAAGCUAUUCAAAACAAAAUGAACAAAUAGCUUUGUUACCAUGUUAAUGUCAGCUAUGAUAUAUUUUAUGUAAUUAUUUGAUUGGUGGGGUGGUUCUCAUGUUUAGGAGGUAUAUGAAAAGAUAUUUUUAUUCAUAUAUUUGUAUAUAUUCUGAUUCAUAUAAAAGCCUAUUUGCAGUGUCUAAGACUCUUAACAUUAAAUGUAAAUAUACUGAUUGAUACCUAACAAAUCAAGGCAUAUAUAAGAGAAAUAAACUUGUCUGCAACUUCCCAAACAAAGUUUCAGCAGAUUCAUGCUAAGGAGAAAAAUGACCUGCAAAGUAGACUUAAAAGUGCUGAGUAUUAGGAUUGCCUAGAGUAAGAAUUAAUUUUGUUUAAAAAAAAAUCAAAAUUUUGACAUUUUAUUUCAGUUUUGCAUUAGAAUAAAAAUUAGACCUUUCAGUUGUUUUCAGGUUCAAGUCUGUUCUGAGCCACUCUCCACCUCUCACACACCAGAGUCACACACACCGUCAGUCUGUACCCAUCACCCCCUCACUUUCUGGUGUUCAGCUGAACGUGAGCUCAAAGACAGCCAAACAUACUGGUGAGCUGGAUGGUAGCAAAAUGUCCUGUUUUUAGACUCAGGUAGUAUUGUCACCCUAACCUUACAUGCUGUAGAGGACUCAGCAGCUCUACCUGUAGCAUGCUUUACAUGCUGUAAGUUCACACCUGCCUUACUUGGCAGUAAUUUCUUCAUGGGUGCAUAAUGUUGUUCUAAAGCACCGCGGUUAGUGGUCUCACCUUGGAAGUGGAAGAACAGCUGUAUGUCCCUGACUGAGAGCGGGCGACUACAACUCUCUUAUUGAAGUUUUGUUGAAAAAAAGACUUAACGUUGACAAGCUUUACUUUCAGUGAAAUCAGCUAAUGUUGAAACCAGUCGUCGCAUCUGAAGAAUAGAACUACUGUGAAUGGGCAACAAAUCAUGUACCUAAAAUGAACAAGAGGCCAAAAUAUGGCCAAAAUAUGUACAAAGUAGGUUGAGGGUAGCUAUGUUUGAUACUAAGCGUGAAGCACAGCUCCAGUCAAAGUAUGUAUACAGCAUCUGUGAUGCUUUCAAAUUUAAUGUUGUCUUUUAGAUGGAAUACAAAAUCAAGUGUCUGGCCACUUAGAUCUUUAAUAUUCCCUGGAAUCAGUGUGUUAGUUCUGGUAUCCUGGGAAAAUUUCAGCUCCAAUUCUAAUAUUUUUCCUUCUCUCAAUUCUUUGUAUUUUUUAUAAAUGGCAUUCUCCCUCACUGUUAUGCAGUGUGACUCAGUGCUGUUAUUUGAACUGAAAAGAUCAUUUAUCGUGCCUUUAUUUUAUGUGUGUUUAAUAAAGUGGUAGCUGUCUUAGCUAUAA